CUACGGGGGGCUGCAGUGGGGAAUAUUGGACAAUUGGGGAAACCCUGAUCCAGCAAUGCCGCGUGUGUGAAGAAGGCCUGCGGGUUGUAAAGCACUUUCGGUUGGGAGGACUGCUUCUAGCACUAAUAUUGUUGGAAGUUGACGUUACCUUCAGAAGAAGCACCGGCUAACUCCGUGCCAGCAGCCGCGGUAAUACGGAGGGUGCAAGCGUUAAUCGGAAUUACUGGGCGUAAAGCGCGCGUAGGCGGCUAGAUCAGUCGGGUGUGAAAGCCCCGGGCUUAACCUGGGAACUGCAUCCGACACUUGCUGGCGUGCAUACUGGAGAGGGGAGUCGAAUUACAGAGGGAGCGGUGGAAGGCGUAGCGAUGUGGGGGAACAGCGAAGGCACAGAGGGCACACUAACCUGGUACUGACGCUGGGGUGCGACAGCGUGGAGCACAAACAGGAUUAGCGACCCGCGUGGUC
rnacentral:rRNA from 1 species